rnacentral:tRNA from 1 species
CGGGCUGUGGCGCAGCUUGGUAGCGCACUUGACUGGGGGUUAAGUGCGGUAAGCCUCUCGUCGGCCCAA